GACGAACGCUUGCGGCGUGCUUAACACAUGCAAGUCGAACGGAAAGGCCCUGCUUUUGUGGGGUGCUCGAGUGGCGAACGGGUGAGUAACACGUGAGUAACCUGCCCUUGACUUUGGGAUAACUUCAGGAAACUGGGGCUAAUACUGGAUAGGAGCUCCUGCUGCAUGGUGGGGGUUGGAAAGUUUCGGCGGUUGGGGAUGGACUCGCGGCUUAUCAGCUUGUUGGUGGGGUAGUGGCUUACCAAGGCUUUGACGGGAAGCCGGCCUGAGAGGGUGACCGGCCACAUUGGGACUGAGAUACGGCCCAGACUCCUACGGGAGGCAGCAGUGGGGAAUAUUGCACGAUGGGCGGAAGCCUGAUGCAGCAACGCCGCGUGCGGGAUGACGGCCUUCGGGUUGUAAACCGCUUUCGCCUGUGACGAAGCGUGAGUGACGGUAAUGGGUAAAGAAGCACCGGCUAACUACGUG
rnacentral:rRNA from 1 species